rnacentral:rRNA from 1 species
CAGGCUUAACACAUGCAAGUCGAGGGGCAGCAUGGUCUUAGCUUGCUAAGGCCGAUGGCGACCGGCGCACGGGUGAGUAACACGUAUCCAACCUGCCGUCUACUCUUGGACAGCCUUCUGAAAGGAAGAUUAAUACAAGAUGGCAUCAUGAGUCCGCAUGUUCACAUGAUUAAAGGUAUUCCGGUAGACGAUGGGGAUGCGUUCCAUUAGAUAGUAGGCGGGGUAACGGCCCACCUAGUCUUCGAUGGAUAGGGGUUCUGAGAGGAAGGUCCCCCACAUUGGAACUGAGACACGGUCCAAACUCCUACGGGAGGCAGCAGUGAGGAAUAUUGGUCAAUGGGCGAGAGCCUGAACCAGCCAAGUAGCGUGAAGGAUGACUGCCUUAUGGGUUGUAAACUUCUUUUAUAAAGGAAUAAAGUCGGGUAUGGAUACCCGUUUGCAUGUACUUUAUGAAUAAGGAUCGGCUAACUCCGUGCCAGCAGCCGCGGUAAUACGGAGGAUUCGAGCGUUAUCCGGAUUUAUUGGGUUUAAAGGGAGCGUAGAUGGAUGUUUAAGUCAGUUGUGAAAGUUUGCGGCUCAACCGUAAAAUUGCAGUUGAUACUGGAUAUCUUGAGUGCAGUUGAGGCAGGCGGAAUUCGUGGUGUAGCGGUGAAAUGCUUAGAUAUCACGAAGAACUCCGAUUGCGAAGGCAGCCUGCUAAGCUGCAACUGACAUUGAGGCUCGAAAGUGUGGGUAUCAAACAGGAUUAGAUACCCUGGUAGUCCACACGGUAAACGAUGAAUACUCGCUGUUUGCGAUAUACGGCAAGCGGCCAAGCGAAAGCGUUAAGUAUUCCACCUGGGGAGUACGCCGGCAACGGUGAAACUCAAAGGAAUUGACGGGGGCCCGCACAAGCGGAGGAACAUGUGGUUUAAUUCGAUGAUACGCGAGGAACCUUACCCGGGCUUAAAUUGCAGAUGAAUUACGGUGAAAGCCGUAAGCCGCAAGGCAUCUGUGAAGGUGCUGCAUGGUUGUCGUCAGCUCGUGCCGUGAGGUGUCGGCUUAAGUGCCAUAACGAGCGCAACCCUUGUUGUCAGUUACUAACAGGUUCUGCUGAGGACUCUGACAAGACUGCCAUCGUAAGAUGUGAGGAAGGUGGGGAUGACGUCAAAUCAGCACGGCCCUUACGUCCGGGGCUACACACGUGUUACAAUGGGGGGUACAGAGGGCCGCUACCACGCGAGUGGAUGCCAAUCCCAAAAACCUCUCUCAGUUCGGACUGGAGUCUGCAACCCGACUCCACGAAGCUGGAUUCGCUAGUAAUCGCGCAUCAGCCACGGCGCGGUGAAUACGUUCCCGGGCCUUGUACACACCGCCCGUCAAGCCAUGGGAGCCGGGGGUACCUGAAGUGCGUAACCGCGAGGAGCGCCCUAGGGUAAAACUGGUGACUG